rnacentral:rRNA from 1 species
GGGUUAGUAGGUUGGUCAUGCCUCCGGUAUGUACUGGUCUCACUGAUUCCUCCUUCCUGAUGAACCGUAAUGCCAUUAAUUUGAUGUUAUGGGGAAUUAGGACUGUUACCUUGAAAAAAUUAGAGUGUUUAAAGCAAGCUAACGCUUGAAUACAUUAGCAUGGAAUAAUGAAAUAGGACGUUCGAUCCUAUUUUGUUGGUUUCUAGGAUUGACGUA